rnacentral:misc_RNA from 1 species
UUCGAGAAUCGUAUAUCUGAGGGUUCGCUUCGAACUUUAAAACAAGACGACCGAGGUGCGAAGGACUCGGUUAUUUUUCAACCUCGUAAAAUAAUUAAUUCAGUUCAGAUGUACAGCCUGUUCGAUACACUGAAAAUAAUUUUCGCGAAAGUCGAUCGAUGGUUUCAUCGCUCCGUGAUCGAAGACAAGUGCAGACGCGAGAGAACUCCGCGUUUGAUAAGAAUAUCGAAACCACCUACCCGGAUGAGGUCGAAGAUGAAGUUGCCAGAGCCACCUCCACCCCCCGAUAAGCUGUCCCCGUUGAGGAACCUUUUGUUUCGGUUUUCAUCCGACAACUCGACGUCGUCCAACGGGGUGAGAUCACCCGCGGGGGCUGCGUCACCUUGUUCGUCGGCAAACUGGACUCGUACUUCGUUAUUCUGGGAUUCGGCGACCACUUGAUUUUCGGCUUCCGGGUUCACGUCCUGCGCAAUAAAUUUUCACAUUUUAGCCAUACGAUGAAAAAUUCAUGCCCCGGAUGAUUUAAUUCAAGUGAUAAAUACUGCACGUGAAUAAUACUACUGAAAAUUAGAAAUUGCGUACUAUACUGCAACCUGCGAGAAGAAUAUUAAUUAAUGCGCACAGUAUUAGCAUUAGAAAAGAUAUAUGGGAUCUAGAAUUUUUGCUCUCAUAUUGUCUUAGAAUUAUGGAGCACGAUAUGAAAUUAUUUAACAUUCAUAUAUUACUGCGCUAUACGUGGUCAUCAAGGACUUUCGUAAACCUUGUACGGAUUUAUUUUCCGUAUUGUACACAUCUGUAUUCAUUUAGUCGUCACAAAAGUCCCCGUUCAUUUGAUGAUAUUGCUUCGCGCUAUUUCCAUUGCUUGAAGCAAUUUUUUUUGGAAAAUAAAUCACGCAAUGAUCACGUCGUCAUACGACGCCAGCGGCGACUACGAUGUGCGUGAAUUAUUCUUUAAUUUAGACAUGGUCCCAUUCAGUCUGCAUGGGAUUGCACCGUAUCGAUAGUAGCGGACGUUAUUCGUACGGUACUUUGGCACAUUUACAUACACAGAUGAUUAUUUGAGAAAUAAGAAGACUACAAAGAUAACUGUAGAGAAACACAACUCUUUCCGAAUCGGAUGAGCCAUGUGUGUGUGUGUACGUAAUGAGAUUAGGAUUCAUGCUACGCGUAGCGUCAAUUCUACGGAGCAAUCGAGUAAGUACACGGCGUCUACGAGAGAUACAAUAGCGAAUACAGAAGAAAUGGAAGUAGAAGAGAAAUAAGAAUAGAGAAUAAAAAUGGGUGCGAAGAAAAAUGCCUCAUCGGGUCAGCGACAAACGAGACAUCGUUUACAAAAGCGAUGAAGAGCGAGAAUAACACAAAAAAUGGGAUGCACACACAAGUGAAGAACGAUUAGAUUAGCGGCUGAUUGUGAGGAGAAAUUUUGAUGCGAAAAUUGAC